GCGGGCAUCAUUGUCAGACGGGAAACACACCCGAUCCCAUACCGACCUCGAUAUGUGAAAUCGUCUUACGCCAUAUGUACUGAUCUUU
rnacentral:rRNA from 1 species